AUUGAACGCUGGCGGCAUGCCUUACACGUGCAAGUCGAACGGCAGCACGGGUGCUUGCACCUGGUGGCGAGUGGCGAACGGGUGAGUAAUAUAUCGGAACGUACCUUAUUGUGGGGGAUAACGCAGCGAAAGCUGUGCUAAUACCGCAUAAUCCCUAAGGGGGAAAGCGGGGGACCGUAAGGCCUCGCGCAAUUAGAGCGGCCGAUACCUGAUUAGCUAGUUGGUGAGGUAAAGGCUCACCAAGGCAACGAUCAGUAGCUGGUCUGAGAGGACGAUCGGCCACACUGGGACUGAGACACGGCCCAGACUCCUACGGGAGGCAGCAGUGGGGAAUUUUGGACAAUGGGGGCAACCCUGAUCCAGCAAUGCCGCGUGAGUGAAGAAGGCCUUCGGGUUGUAAAGCUCUUUUGUCAGGGAAGAAACAGCAGCUCUAACACAGCUUGCGAAUGACGGUACCUGAAGAAUAAGCACCGGCUAACUACGUGCCAGCCGCCGCCGUAA
rnacentral:rRNA from 1 species